rnacentral:rRNA from 1 species
CCUACGGGUGGCAGCAGUGAGGAAUAUUGGUCAAUGGCCGAGAGGCUGAACCAGCCAAGUCGCGUGAGGGAAGACGGCCCUACGGGUUGUAAACCUCUUUUGUCGGGGAGCAAAGCGAGUCACGUGUGACUCAUUGAGAGUACCCGAAGAAAAAGCAUCGGCUAACUCCGUGCCAGCAGCCGCGGUAAUACGGAGGAUCCGAGCGUUAUCCGGAUUUAUUGGGUUUAAGGGGUGCGUAGGCGGUCAGGUAAGUUAGAGGUGAAAGCUCGAUGCUCAACAUCGAAACUGCCUCUGAUACUGUCUGACUAGAGUGUAGUUGCGGAAGGCGGAAUGUGUGGUGUAGCGGUGAAAUGCUUAGAUAUCACACAGAACACCGAUUGCGAAGGCAGCUUUCCAAGCUAUGACUGACGCUGAGGCACGAAAGCGUGGGGAGCGAACAGGAUUAGAUACCCUGGUAGUC